CAAUAGCGUAUAUUAAAGUUGUUGCAGUUAAAAAGCUCGUAGUUGGAUUUCUGGUCGGAAGCUCCUGUCCUCUGAUGAGCGUACAAGUGCGUCCUACCAUCCUUCUGUUAACCUUUAAGGCUUUCGCGGCUUUCUAGGGGCUCAGAUAUUUUACCUUGAGAAAAUUAGAGUGUUUCAGGCAGGCUAGCGCCGGAAUACAUUAGCAUGGAAUAAUGGAAUAGGACUUUUGCCUCUUCUGUUGGUCAUGAGGCUCGAGUAAUGAUUAAUAGGGAUAGUUGGGGGCAUUAGUACUUAACUGUCAGAGGUGAAAUUCUCGGAUUUGUUAAAGACUAACUUAUGCGAANGNAUUUGGNAAGGAUGUUUNCAUUA
rnacentral:rRNA from 1 species